GUAGAUUUUCCUUCUGUGACUACGUGCUUGAGGAUUAAUCAUAGAGGAAAAUCCACCU
rnacentral:pre_miRNA from 1 species